UCGCUUUCUUGUUGCAUAAUAUUUUGAACAAAUUCCACCUCAAACGAAUGUUGUGGAUCCAAUAGUAACAUGCAAAUACAUAAAAUUACAGGAAAAAAAAAUACAUACUGUUGGUAUUGCAGAUCUGGAUAUGGCCGGGGCAACCCUUCUACCACUUUUCUUGGGUGUUUUUGCAUGUGCCUCCUUUUUAGCUUUUGACUUCUUAGAACUUUGCUUAGCCAUUGUUAUAGGAUCUUCAUAAUCAAAGAUUCGAUUAGUGUUGGUUGUGACUAUUUGGAUAAUCCCAAUAUUAAAAGACGGAUGAUCCAUAAAGUAUAACAAAAUAUUUAAAAAAUGAAAAAAAAAGUUGAAGAUGAAGAAACUACCUAUUUCAAACUCUGAAAUUGAUUGAAUGGAUAGAGAAGUAGUUUGAAAUUCAAAAUUGGAAUAAUGAAUCUGUUGAGAAUAAUGGGGGAGAAAAUUUGGAGAUG
rnacentral:lncRNA from 1 species